rnacentral:rRNA from 1 species
GACGAACGCUGGCGGCGUGCUUAACACAUGCAAGUCGAACGGAAAGGCCUCUUUCGGGGGGUACUCGAGUGGCGAACGGGUGAGUAACACGUGAGUAACCUGCCCUUGACUUUGGGAUAACUUCAGGAAACUGGGGCUAAUACCGGAUAGGUGCUCCUGCUGCAUGGUGGGGGUUGGAAAGUUUCGGCGGUUGGGGAUGGACUCGCGGCUUAUCAGCUUGUUGGUGGGGUAGUGGCUUACCAAGGCUUUGACGGGUAGCCGGCCUGAGAGGGUGACCGGCCACAUUGGGACUGAGAUACGGCCCAGACUCCUACGGGAGGCAGCAGUGGGGAAUAUUGCACAAUGGGUGGAAGCCUGAUGCAGCAACGCCGUGUGCGGGAUGACGGCCUUCGGGUUGUAAACCGCUUUCGCUCAUGACGAAGCUUUGUGUGACGGUAGUGGGUAAAGAAGCACCGGCUAACUACGUG